rnacentral:rRNA from 1 species
UACGGGGGGGGGCAAGCGUUGUCCGGAAUCAUUGGGCGUAAAGCGCGCGUAGGCGGCCCGGUAAGUCCGCUGUAAAAGUCCAGGGCUCAACCCUGGAAAGCCGGUGGAUACUGUCGGGCUCGAGUCCGGAAGAGGCGAGUGGAAUUCCUGGCGUAGCGGUGGAAUGCGCAGAUAUCAGGAGGAACACCGAUGGCGAAGGCAGCUCGCUGGGACGGUACUGACGCUGAGGCGCGAAAGCGUGGGGAGCGAACAGG